CUCUCUCUCUCUCUCUCUCUCUCUCUCUCUCUCUCUCUCUCUCUCUCUCUCUCACACACACACACACACACAUAAACCAAAACCAAGAAUAAUUUGAGUUUUCCAACAUGAACAUGUGUGUUCUGAUUUUUGGGUCUUUCUCUUUCUAGGUUUUAGUUUUUAAUAGAUCCUGCAAAUUUGAAUGGUUUUAGUGCUUUAAACAUUUGGGUUCGAUUUUUUUGCAAGGAUCUAUUUGUAAAAUUCGAUGCUUGUAAAAGAUUAUAAAGUUAAUAUCAUUUUCAUUCAUUGUUGAUAGGAGUGUUACUUCUUGUUGAUUAAUGAUUAGGAUUGAAGUUGGAGCGGUUGAUGAAGAAGCGUGUGGUUGAUUUAGCAAGUUGCCUUGGAAAAAGUGGGAAAGUUGAACUUGAUGGAAAGUGUGUUCCUCCAAAAACAUUUGAAGACUAUGUCAAAUUUUAUCUACAAUAUUCUCAAGAACCUCUAAAAUACUUUUUAAUAGCUAUCACCGAUAAUAAUUACUUCUUUUUAAUUUAAUUGGUAGUUUAUGGAUACUAAUAGUCUAUUAUUGUAUGGGAUUUAUGAGAAAGUGAAUGAAAGAUGGGAGAUUUGUGUUAGUAUGGCUGAUGGGCAUUUUGAACAAGUACUUUUUCUUGUGUUGGGUUAAUCGGAUUUAUGAGUGCAGGGGCAUUUUAGGAAAGUUAUAUAUUUAAGUUUUGUUUGAUAGUUUUACAGUUUGAUAAGGUUUCUAUUUUACUGAGUUCAUCUUUUAGAUUUAGAGUUUGAGUAGGAUAAAUAGUUGUAGUCAUUUGUUUUGUUAAUGCAAUUUCGGUGCUUCUAUUAGUGUAACUUUGUUAGCAAGAAACUUGUUCCUUUUUUUUGUUUCAUUUAGUUUUGUUUCUUCCAAACACAACAAAGAAUUUUUUUUAGCUUAUUACUUGGUGUUAAUCAUUUAAGUUUUUUUUGGUUUAGUUGCUAACUUCAACUUAUGUAUAACUUUUCAUUUUUUUUAUUAAACAUGUGAUUUUUGUGAACAAUAUAUGCUACUCUCAAGGCUCAUAAUGUAAAGAAUUACUUGUGGGUAUUUGUCAAUGCUCUAACUGAAAAUCUUGCAUUUGAUUCACAAACAAAAAAAUAUUUUAACAAUCAAACAAAGCACAUGUGUGAACUCGCCCCAAAGUUCUUAAAAAAAAGUGGCGAAAUAUGAUAUUGUGAAAAAGCUAUCUUAAGAAAACUGAUGGUAACAAGAGGGGAAAACUGUUGUGUCUUGAUUAUUUGUUACGGGACAAGAUUAAUAUGGUGUGCUUCCAUUAAAAGGUAAAGUGUUGAGUGUGACGCCUUGUUCUCGAAUUUUUUUGUAAAUUCAAUAACGGAAAGGGAAGGAAAAUUUGAUAGAAAGAA